CGGGUUGUGGCUCAGCUUGGUAGAGCGCUGCGUUCGGGACGCAGAAGUCGCUGGUUCGAAUCCAGUCAACCCGACCA
rnacentral:tRNA from 3 species